rfam:Dipodomys ordii contig_54035, whole genome shotgun sequence.
GGUGGCUCAGAGGUAGAGUGCUUGCCUUGCAUGCAUAAGGCCCUGGGUUCGAUUCCUCAGCACCA